AACUGAUUAAUGACGGCGACGCUCAAAUAAAUCGUCUUUUGUGUUGUGUUUUCCGUUUGCUUUUGCUUGCUUUCUUUGCGUCGACGUCCAUCUUGAAUCUCAACAAAAGUUAAACGCGUGUUGUAUGAGAAAUAAUUGUAAUUUUUAAAUAGUAUAAAGUAUAAUCACAAAAAUGGCUGAUACCACAGCUGAACCAGCAGCUCCAGAAGCAGCAGCAGCUCCAUCAGGGCCCCCAAACAGAGGAGGUAUGGGUGGAGGUAGAGGGAUGGGUAUGGGUAGAGGAAGAGGUGGUCCCGGUGGACCAGGUAGAGGUGGACCAGGAGGUCCAGGGGGUCCAGGUGGCCGAGGAGGAUUCAGGGGACGAGGUGGACCUGGAGGACCAGGAGGACGUGGUGGUCCAAUGAUGAGAGGACGUGGAGGUCCAAGGGGAGCUCCAAGAGGACGAUUCCCAGGAGGUGGCCCAGGAGAAGGUGGUAUGGGAGGUAGAGGAGGUGGCCGCGGAAUGGGAGGAAGAGGUGGUCCAGGUGGUUUUAGGGGACGUGGAGGCCCAGGAGGUGGCAGGGGAGGACCUGGUGGUCCAGGAGGUCGUGGAAUGGGUAGAGGAGGUCCAGGUGGUUUCAGAGGACGUGGAGGCCCAGGAGGUGGCAGGGGAGGACCAGGUGGUCCAGGCGGACCAGGUGGACCAGGACAAAAAAGAGCACCAGGACAGUUUGGUGGUCAAGGAGGACCACCAGGUGGAAUUAAGAGACCUAGGUUUGAAAAUGGACAGGGAGCUAACGGAUUCCAAGGUGGUCAGCAAUCAUACUCAAAUCAGUAUGGUGGUGGUGGUGGUCAGUAUGGAGGAUACAAUCAGUAUGGAGGAGGACAAGGUGGUUAUGAAAGUGGUGGUUACUCGACACAAUAUUCCAAUCCAUCUUCCAACUAUGGUAGUGGGGGUGGUGAUUAUUCUGGAUACUCACAACAAGGAGCUGAUCAAUAUGGUGGUGGUGGUUACAAUACAGGUGCACAGGGUGGUUACAAUAGUCAAGGUUAUGAUGAUAUGAGUGGAGGAUAUGCACAGCAAGGUGGUUAUGGGAGAAAUGAUUCAUACAACUACCAAUGACAAACCCAAGUACAAUGAAAACACAUUUUGGCUAUGUAGGAAACUAAAUACUAACUUUCAGCAUCUUUUACUUGUGUUAGGUUGAAUUUGUUUGGAACGUCAAAGGAAUUGUUAUAGAAUUUUUUUAGGAACCGGCUGUACAUACAAACUGAUGCAAGAAUCUUGAAAAUCGAGGUACAAAUAAUAAAGUUAUAAAUAUUGUCAAACAUAAUCAAAAAUUUUGAGUGGUGGAAUUUUGUGCCGAUGGAACUAAUAGUAUGAAGAUGCGAAAAUAAAGGAGAGCAUUUAAUGGCUGUUUCAGGAAGAUUUGAACUUCAAGAUGGGACAGACAUGAGAUAGAGAAAAAUUAUUUGUUUUAAAAGAGAGAAAAAAAAAUAAAGAUUUAAAGGAUA
rnacentral:misc_RNA from 1 species